rnacentral:rRNA from 1 species
UGGCGGACGGGUGAGUAAUGUCUGGGAAACUGCCCGAUGGAGGGGGAUAACUACUGGAAACGGUAGCUAAUACCGCAUAACGUCCCAAGACCAAAGAGGGGGACCUUAGGGCCUCUUGCCAUCGGAUGUGCCCAGAUGGGAUUAGCUAGUAGGUGGGGUAAUGGCUCACCUAGGCGACGAUCCCUAGCUGGUCUGAGAGGAUGACCAGCCACACUGGAACUGAGACACGGUCCAG